UUUAUUUAUUUAUUAUUUAGCAAACUAAGAAAAGAUAUAUAUAUAUAUAUAUAAGCGUAAAAUCUUUAUUUGGGUUUUUAUGAUUAUGCAUCUUUUUAUUAUUUUAACAAAGUAUAAGUAUAAACGUAGAUAGAAAUACUUAGCUGGAUAAAUGGGGGUGCUCUCCCCCAAGCUGGAUUUUGACGUAAUUUCUUUUGAUGUAGCUAGCAGGUGGCGGGGGCGUAUUUGAAUGUCGACAGCACCCUGACAGCGAUUAGAAUGUCCUCCGUCUGCUAGUCUUCUUUGAUCCUUGAAUUCUGUGGAGCUCAAAUAGACAACAAAGCUUUGUGGAACUGGUUAAGUGUUAGCAUAAAAUCUCUUUGCCUUUAUCAUGUUGAGCUUCCUCUAAUAAAUAUUACUCUCUUUGGUAGGAUCAUAAAUUUAUUUUUAUAUUUUCAUUUCUAUAGGACAAGAAUAUAUUUAUUUUUAUUUUUAUGCCACCACAGUGAAUGUACUUAUGGGUUUCAUGCCACGAGCAUACUCACAUGGGGCUUUGUAUUUUUUAACAUUUUUAUUUUCUUUUCAAGAUAGCAUGAUUAACUAAUAAGCUAUUUAAGGAAAGUAAGUAAUUAAAGGGAAAAGGGAAUGCAGAAAGGAUAAAUAUGGAUAACUACCGAUUUUACCUUUCGGCGAGGAUUCAAUGUUUUAAGUCUUCUGAACAAGACUUCUCACCGUGUUCAUUCUUCAUGUGCGUCAUUUGAUUCAGGUGUGGACCUUGACGUCUGCGCCUCUUAAUACGGUGUCACCCAUGUUCUUCGUUUGCCUAGUAGUUCGAAGUGCGGUGUUGGCAGUAUCUUGCUCAGUGUGUUUGUGCUCGUAGUGUACCUGCUCAUAGAGACAAGGCAGAGAUCAAGUGCAUGGGCCCUGUUGGUGGAAAACACCAACAGAACGAAAAGUGUAUUUGUUCUUCUCUAACCUUAAGCAUGGUGAGCAAGACAAAGUUGAUGAAUGAUAAGUUCAUGACUGUAGCAUUUAAAACAUUUGCCAGAUCAGAUCGCUCAACCUAAUGGAAAGAUAAUCUAUCUAUAUAUAUGUCUUUUUCUUUAUAUCUUCCCAAAGAUUAAAUGUGUAACAUUUUAGCUCAUAUGACUAAGAGUGUGGGGAUCAAAGAUUAAGGGACUAAACAUGCUGAAUCAGUGGGGUUGGUUAAUUUGGAGUUAUAAAUCAUACAUGUCUGUCUCUUUUAUUCAUAUAAACGCCAGAACCAAUGAGAAGCUUAUAAAAGUGAUAGUCAAGUACCAUAAGGUGUUACCUUAAUUGAAGAGUGAUGGUACAGUCUCACCAUGUGGAAGCUUUCCUUUCUUAGCGGUUGUGCAUCGUGUUUGUAGCACCCUCCAUGGAUCAUCUCUUAUGAGCUACGUCUUCCUUGUGUAAAUUGUUAAACUUCAUGUGUCUCUCUCUUUGUCUCUGAUGUGAGUUUAUCUC
rnacentral:lncRNA from 1 species